rnacentral:tRNA from 1 species
AGUUAUAGCUCAGUGGUAGAGCACUUUUCUCACACAUAUGAGGCACUGGGUUCAAUUCUCAGAACUA